GAACGCGAAGAACCUUACCAGGGCUUUGACAUACAAGUGGUAGGGAUCCGAAAGGUGACCGACCCUUCGGGGAGCUUGCUACAGGUGUUGCAUGGCUGUCGUCAGCUCGUGUCGUGAGAUGUUCGGUUAAGUCCGCUAACGAGGCGCAACCCUCACUGUGUGUUAUACGGUUUCGCACCGGGACUGGCCGGUCCUAAACCGGAGGAAGGUGGGGAUGACGUCAAGUCAGCUUGGCCUUAUAUCCUGGGCUACACACACGCUACAAUGGUCAGUACAAUGGGUAGCGAAGCCGCGAGGCGGAGCCAAUCCUCCAAAGCUGGCCUCAGUUCAGAUUGCAGGCUGCAACCCGCCU
rnacentral:rRNA from 1 species